rnacentral:rRNA from 1 species
AGGACGAACGCUGGCGGCGUGCCUAACACAUGCAAGUCGAGCGGGGACAUGUGACGGAUCGGAAGUUUCGGAUGGAAGAGAAGAUGUAUGUUCUAGCGGCGGACGGGUGAGUAACGCGUGAGCAACCUGUCCUUCACAGGGGGAUAACACAGCGAAAGUUGUACUAAUACCGCAUAAGACCACGGAGAGACAUCUCUCAGGGGUCAAAGGAGCAAUCCGGUGAAGGGUGGGCUCGCGUCCGAUUAGAUAGUUGGUGAGGUAACGGCCCACCAAGUCGACGAUCGGUAGCCGACCUGAGAGGGUGAUCGGCCACAUUGGGACUGAGACACGGCCCAAACUCCUACGGGAGGCAGCAGUGGGGAAUAUUGGGCAAUGGGGGGAAACCCUGACCCAGCAACGCCGCGUGAGGGAAGAAGGUUUUCGGAUCGUAAACCUCUGUCCCAGGUGAAGAGCAAGAGACGGUAACCUGGGAGGAAGCCCCGGCUAACUACGUGCCAGCCGCGGC